CCCGGGGCUCAUACACCUCUACCCACACAGCCCCCAGCCUGACCCCAGAGACUUUGAAAGAAGAGAUGUUACCAAACCGUCCUUCCCAGUGGUGCUGCCAGGCCACUGGGGCAUAGAUCAGUGUGGGCACCUGUUCCUCCAUGGCCUCUGUGACCUGUCGUGUCAUUGGACUUGCUGGUCAGCCUCCUGAGUGACAGGAUGGUGACAGCUGCCACUUAGGGGACCUCAUUGAGCUUCCUGAAGACCCCACGAGGAGGGUGUUAACAUGGGGAGCCCCCUUUACAGAUGAGGAAACUGAGGCCUCAGAGGUGGGGGCCUCACCCUCCUCUGGGCCUCAUGGUGGGUGGUGGGGGUUCACCUUCCUUUAUUUGCAUGUGGAUAUCCAGUUGUCCCAGCACUGUUUGUUGAAACACUUUUUCUUUCUGCAUUCA
rnacentral:lncRNA from 1 species